UGGGGAAUAUUGGACAAUGGGCGCAAGCCUGAUCCAGCCAUACCGCGUGGGUGAAGAAGGCCUUCGGGUUGUAAAGCCCUUUUGUUGGGAAAGAAAUCCAGCUGGUUAAUACCCGGUUGGGAUGACGGUACCCAAAGAAUAAGCACCGGCUAACUUCGUGCCAGCAGCCGCGGUAAUACGAAGGGUGCAAGCGUUACUCGGAAUUACUGGGCGUAAAGCGUGCGUAGGUGGUCGUUUAAGUCUGUUGUGAAAGCCCUGGGCUCAACCUGGGAACUGCAGUGGAAACUGGACGACUAGAGUGUGGUAGAGGGUAGCGGAAUUCCUGGUGUAGCAGUGAAAUGCGUAGAGAUCAGGAGGAACAUCCAUGGCGAAGGCAGCUACCUGGACCAACACUGACACUGAGGCACGAAAGCGUGGGGAGCAAACAGGAUUAGAUACCCUGGUAGUCCACGCCCUAAACGAUGCGAACUGGAUGUUGGGUGCAAUUUGGCACGCAGUAUCGAAGCUAACGCGUUAAGUUCGCCGCCUGGGGAGUACGGUCGCAAGACUGAAACUUAAAUGAAUUGACGGGGUCAUAGCUGUUUCC
rnacentral:rRNA from 1 species